rnacentral:rRNA from 1 species
AGCAAAUACUCCAGCGAGGCCCUGGAGGACUGAUGUGGAGAAGGGUUUCUUGUGAACAGCUGUUGCACAAGAGUCAGUCGAUCCUAAGCCCUAGGAGAAAUCCGAAGCGAUGGUCUGCCGUUAA